rnacentral:rRNA from 1 species
UACGAAGGGGGCUAGCGUUGCUCGGAAUCACUGGGCGUAAAGCGCACGUAGGCGGAUCGUUAAGUCAGGGGUGAAAUCCUGGAGCUCAACUCCAGAACUGCCUUUGAUACUGGCGACCUUGAGUUCGGGAGAGGUGAGUGGAACUGCGAGUGUAGAGGUGAAAUUCGUAGAUAUUCGCAAGAGCACCAGUGGCGAAGGCGGCUCACUGGCCCGAUACUGACGCUGAGGUGCGAAAGCGUGGGGAGCAAACAGG